AGGGCCAGCCCAGUNAGGGGAAUUUCCUUUCCCCGGCCAAAUUGGGAACCGGAAAAAGGUUCCCUGGGACCGGGGAGCAACGCCGCGUGAGUGAUGAAGGCUUUCGGGUCGUAAAACUCUGUUGUUAGGGAAGAACAAGUACGAGAGUAACUGCUCGUACCUUGACGGUACCUAACCAGAAAGCCACGGCUAACUACGUGCCAGCAGCCGCGGUAAUACGUAGGUGGCAAGCGUUAUCCGGAAUUAUUGGGCGUAAAGCGCGCGCAGGCGGUUUCUUAAGUCUGAUGUGAAAGCCCACGGCUCAACCGUGGAGGGUCAUUGGAAACUGGGGAACUUGAGUGCAGAAGAGAAAAGCGGAAUUCCACGUGUAGCGGUGAAAUGCGUAGAGAUGUGGAGGAACACCAGUGGCGAAGGCGGCUUUUUGGUCUGUAACUGACGCUGAGGCGCGAAAGCGUGGGGAGCAAACAGGAUUAGAUACCCUGGUAGUCCACGCCGUAAACGAUGAGUGCUAAGUGUUAGAGGGUUUCCGCCCUUUAGUGCUGCAGCUAACGCAUAACACUCCGCCUGGGAUACG
rnacentral:rRNA from 1 species